rnacentral:rRNA from 1 species
CAGCAGCCGCGGUAAUACGAAGGGUGCGAGCGUUACUCGGAAUUACUGGGCGUAAAGCGUGCGUAGGUGGUGGUUUAAGUCCGUUGUGAAAGCCCUGGGCUCAGCCUGGGAAUUGCAGUGGAUACUGGGUCACUAGAGUGUGGUAGAGGAUAGUGGAAUUUCCGGUGUAGCAGUGAAAUGCGUAGAGAUCGGAAGGAACAUCUGUGGCGAAGGCGACUAUCUGGGCCAACACUGACACUGAGGCACGAAAGCGUGGGGAGCAAACAGGAUUAGAGACCCCGGUAGUCCCUGUCUCUUAUAC